AAUACUAAUCUUUUGUGGGGUGACACAUCGUAAAGUAAUAGUGGCUCCUAGAAAAUGACUAACAUUAGACUGCUGUACCUUUUCUGGUGCAAUACUCAAACCAUUAUUUUUUAAAGUUUCAUUAAGCAAGCCAUAAGCUUGCUGUAUACUUUCUUCUUCAGGUCCACAAAUUACAAUGUCGUCCAUAUAGUGACAAAUUUUUAAGGAGGGGAAACCAUCCCUAACCGGUUGUAAAGCUUUUCCUACAUAUAACUGACAUAUGGUAGGGCUAUUUGCCAUUCCUUGGGGUAAUACCCGCCAUUGGUACCUUUUAUCAGGUUCCAUAUGAUUAAUAGAAGGCAAGGUGAAUGCAAAUCUAGGUUUAUCUUUCUUAUUUAAUGGAAUUGAAAAGAAACAAUCCUUAAUAUCUACUACUAUAAUUCUCCAAUCCUUAGGUAGAGCUGAGAGUAGGGGGAGCCCUCUUUGUACAGGACCCAUAACUUGCAUUUGUGCAUUAAUGGCUCUUAGGUCAUGUAACAAUCUCCAUUUACCUGACUUUUUCUUUACAACAAAAAUGGGGGUAUUCCAGGGUGAUUGAGUGGGCUCCACAUGUCCCAGAUCUAAUUGUUCUUGUACUAAUUCUUUAGCUGCUUUUAACUUCUCAGAGGGUAAAGGCCAUUGAGGCACCUACACCGUGUCCUCCGUAUGCUACGGGAUGGGCAAAGGCUCUUCAGUGGCCCCUAGAAAAAACCCAGCCCUUUCUUGUCUGCCUUUACAGUGGCUUUAACUGGUGAAAUUCUACCUUGCAAAUUUUUCCCAAGACCUAGUCCAGGUAUAUAUCCCAUUCCUUUCAUCAUUUCCUUGCUUUUCUGAGAGUAAUCAUUAGUCAAUAUAAAGUUCAUAGCUGAUAACACGUCUCUCCCCAAUAAGUUUACAGGUAAAGGGAGUACAUAAGGUUGAAAAAGCCCUGUCCUUCCUUCUUUAUCUUUCCAUUGUAAGGAUUUUGCACUUAUAGUUGGGGUAGCCUCAUAUCCUAAUCCUUGUAAGCUAUGUGAUGAUUGAUUAACAGGCCAAGAAGCAGGCCACCAUUUACUAGAUAUAAUGCUUUUAUCUGCUCCUGUAUCCAUUAUACCUUGAAAGGGUUUUCCUUCUAUUUGUAAAGAUAUGUACUUUAUUUUCAAAAAUACUCUUUCUACCCUUUGUACACUGCUUUUGCAUAUUACCUGUUUUCUUAUGUUGUUUAGAAUAACUCCAACCUUGGGUUUCCAAUUUUAAGCUAACUUUCUGUUACAAGCAAAAGGCUGCCUGCCCCUUUAAAAGCUCCAUUUGCAAUCAGCCUUCAGCAGGGCUUUUUCAGCUGUACUUGACUCCCAGCCACUGUGCAGCUAACUUGUCAAUUUUUGCUGUGCAGACUGAGACUGCUUUUUUAUUUUUCAACAUGAAACACAGGACAACAAUCAUUCAAUCAUCCAAGCAAAAACAAACACGAGUUGACAGACAUAUAGACAAUUUGGUGCACCAAAAAACAGAAAAUAGAACACAGAUAUCCUAUUCGAAGCUAAAAAUAUUUCCAUAGGAGCCAGAGAGGAAACAGGACGUCUCCCGUUUUCUGUCUGUCCCUAGGAGGGCUCUGAAAUAGCUUAUUUUCAUUUUUUCUUCUUCUUCUAGGAAUUCUGCACAGUGGCUGCUUCUAAUAGUUACUCCUCUUUCCCUGAGAGCUAUCUUUAAGCCUUUGAUGAAGGCUGCCUCUUUAGUCAAAGUCCUCGAGAGGAGGGUAAAUUGACUUAAUUUUUUGUUCUUCAUUUUUUAUAUUAUCCUUUAUAUCUUUAUAUUAUCCUUUGUAUCUUUAUAUUUUAUAUUAUCCUUUGUAUCUUUAUAUUUUAGCUUCCUUUCUUUUUCUCUUUUUAUAUUUCUUAAGUUACUUAUUUUUCUGCGCGCGUCUUCUUUUUUCUUUCUCUCUGUUUCUGAUAUGCCUUCCUGGUACUCCUACAAAGUCGCUGCCCUUCCUUAACAGCUGGUCCCACACAAACCCAGCAACAACUACCAGACCCACUGCGUAAGAAAGCAUACCUCUCAGAGACUUACCUUAAUUUCUUUAUACUUACCGGUACCACCGUUCCUCAGCUGAAGAGUUCUGAAUCCACGCAGUUGAAUCCUUCUCAGCAGUCUGUUUUGCAGGAACCUUUAUUAACACCGCUCCCCAGCUGAAGAGUUCUGAAUCCACGCCGGAUCCUUCUCAGCAGUCUGUUUUACGGGAACCUCUAUUAACCGCUCCUUCCCCGAGAUGCAGUUCUGAAUCCUCCCUGUAGUAGGGGGUCUUCGCUCGUGCCUGAAGAUGUUUCUUGUCCCGGGUUUCGGCACCACUUCUUGCGCGCGCUCGACUGGCCAGGAAGAACGACGCUGCAACAGGAUCCUUCUGCACACGUUUAUUGGGAGAGCUUGAUUGUAGAGGCGAAAAGACUUUUUGCCCAGAGCUGGUGCUGCUUUUAUAGGCCUAGGAGAGGCGUGUCUCAUACCCUGAUUGGUUAUGCACUAAGCCUCAUUUGCAUGUUCCUCAUCUGAUUGGCUACUCUCUCUCAGUACCUCACUGAGCCUCAUUAUCAUCUCAUUUGCAUGUCUCACAUCCGAUUGGUUAUACUCUCAGUACCUUACAGAACCUCAUUAUCAUGCCUGGGCCAGGCAGUGUUUUUGCAAAAAACUUUACUGCAUAUGUACACAUUGGUUGUUUGUCCAAUCUUAUGCAUGGUGGCCAGCAGUAGUCAGUGCCACUCAGCAACGGCACAUGUGGCUUCCCACAGGGUUUCCUCUCAGAUCCCUGAGUUUACUAGCCCUAGGUAGUUGAUUAGCCUUCUGGUACCAGACAUUAUGCCCCUUUUGUUUGAGUGGGCCUUAAAUCCAUUUAGAGAGCUGUUGGUUACCACCAAGGUAUGCAUGCCAUCAUUACAUCCUUAGGUUUAUUGUGCCAUGGUGGUCUUUGUUGUGGUUCAUAAGCACUGUAGGUGCCAUCAUAUGUGUUAUAUUUGAGGAGGAUUGUUGGUUGCUUCCCUGAAAACACACAUACAAGAAACAUUAUACAGACCAAGCAGGUUGCACUUACACUUUAGGAGUGUGUGUGCGUAUAUGCAUGUGUGUGUAAUAGC
rnacentral:lncRNA from 1 species